rfam:Stegodyphus mimosarum contig65085, whole genome shotgun sequence.
GCCUUUGUGGUGCAAUGGUCAAGCAUACUCGGAUCGUAUUCGAGAGGUCCGUGGUUCGAAUUCCGGUGAGGGCA